GUGUUGUCAGAUUUUUCAUUCCGUGAAAGCUAAUGUGGUCCAAUUCUAGAUCAGUUCUCCAUACUUCCAUAGGUAUAUAUAGUGAAGGAUAAAAUAAGGUAAACAGAAAUAUGGGUCAGACUGUGUCUGUCACUGUAGACAUUCUUAAAUAAUGUUGAUGUCUUGAGCUCUAUUACAUAAGCCAGUUAGGUGCCUGAGUAUUUGGACCACUGCAGGAAAAGGAAAUAAUUUCAGCCUCAGUUGAUUAAAUAGUGGUAACACUAAAAUAGCGACUAUGCUUUGGUUAUCUUGAAUGGUCUUGCCUAUAUCAACAUUUACCUUGACAAGUAUGAUGUCAAUACCUUACUUGGACAAAUAGCUGCAAAGAAGUUAUUCAGAAAAUGCAGAAAAGUCAGUGGGGGACAGCCUGGAGUGGGGAAGUCAACCAUUUCCCUAUCUUGUCUCCUGCUUACUUGACCACUCUUGAAGAAAUAGUAUAGUCUCUCAUAAUUGAGAAUUAAGAAAAUUACAAGAAACGAACAUGCUGUAUUCUGGCUGACAGGUGCAUAGCACAGGGAUCAACAAUGUGUUGCUCCCAGAUCCUGCUCUGAAGGAGGAUAAGGAAGGUCACAAAGGCAGGAAGAGAGGAAUAUGGAAGGUUAUCAGGUGAAUAGAGAAGGAAGGAAUUGAGAUUUUGCAAACUGGCUUGCCCAGAACCAUCCAGCUUUCCACCAUUAGGGUGGAGGCAAUUAGAACUUCCCCAGCUGGGACAGAUCAAGCUUUCUUCAUUUAGUAUCUUCAGGGCAGCGAGAGUCCAUACAUAGUGGGAGUCCAUACAUAGUAGGUUAAAUCCCACACAGUUCCAUUGGCUCAUCAGAACUAACUUCCUUAUCUCCUGAUCUAUUACUAAGUUUUCAACUGUAACUUUUACUUAAUUCUAACUGAAUUAAUUUCAAAGGCAGACAUCAAUUUGCAAGUAUUUUUAAAAUAUUUUAACUUUAAAAAAUGAGGAUAAUUUCCAAGUUUUUUUUUAAAAAAAGGAUUUUGUAAAUUAUAUACUACUUUCUUUAACUCUGCUUUUUCUCUAAUUGAAACAGAACCACUCCAUUAUUGUGUCAACUUCCGGUGAUACAUAACAUUGAUCGCCUAGUACCAGUAAGUUCUUAUAACAACAACUUAGCCUUCCUUCACUCCUUACAAAGCUCUUAAACUGUACUCGAACCUUCCAAUCUAAUAUGAACACGAUACCUACAACUGCUAUGAUUAUUAACACUUACUGGAACAGAGACAGCUUCUCACCCUAAUCCAUGCUAUAGUAUCUUUGGAGAACAAAUUCAAAAUCUAAUGCCUUUAAGAAACUAGACUUUAGGCUUUUGUAUCCAAAAGCAGGGUUUUCAGAGAUGGUAGAAAGAAUAGUGUCUUGUAUAGUGUUCAAAAUUAAAGUUUAUGAUGAAACACUCAUUAAUUUUACAUUAUUGCUUCCUUCUUGGUUCUUAUUUUAAGAUACUUAUUUACUGUGACUACCAAUUAUCCAUUAAAAGGACAUCUGGAAUUGUAUCCAUGAAACCUAUACUUAUUACUAUAUUGCAAUGAUAAAAUUACUAUGCUUAUUGUAUGUAUGCUGAGUUUAAACCACUGUACCAAACACAUGUUUAUAUAAAUUUAUUUUUAUAAAUGUAAGAGUGAUCACAGAACUAAAUUAUCAUAUAGGGAAUUUCUAAGGCUUUUCCUGAAUCAUAAAAUUCUCCAAGCAAUUAUUUUCUACCAACUCACUUCACAUUCCUUUCCAAACUCCCAUCCUGAAUAUGUUAAGUCCCAACUAUCACACUUGCCCAUUAAACUCUCCCCACUUUGAGAACUGAGUAUUUAACCCUUAUUUUAGUUUCUGUGCCAUAAUCGAGUUCUAAUGAGUUUCUGCCUUAACACAUGGAUAAACUUCAUUAGCAGCUAUGUGUCUGAGCAUCUGAAAGGCCCUUUAAUGUUGUGAAAUUGCCCCCAAGUUCAGUUGCUAUUGUAUAAACCCACAGAAUUCUCAUCUAUGGUACUGAGGAAAGUGGUGAUAGGCUCCCUACAGUUUGAGGCUGAGGUAUUUAAUUUUAUCCUGCUGUUACACCUGGCUUUGAAUUAGGUCUUCUAUUUAUACAAAUUACUGUAUUAUCUCAUUGGCAUCAUAUAAAAGAUGAACAGCAUCUCUAAUCACCCUGUCCAAAAAGAGACAAGUGACUUUCAAUUUCUGAAUCUUCCAAGUUGCCUCCUGUUGGUGGAAACCUUUACUCUCAUUUGAUGUCAUCCUCCCUUUAGAUUCCUUAAAAUAAGUUACUUUCUUCUCCUUGGAUGGUUACUCAUGACAUAGUAUUCAUCAGUAAUGGACACUUCAGAACCAUUGUGUAAUGACUGAAGAACAAAUACAGAAAAUAAGAAGAUGACUAAUUAAAUUAGAUGC